rnacentral:rRNA from 1 species
GACGAACGCUGGCGGCGUGCUUAACACAUGCAAGUCGAACGGAAAGGCCCUGCUUUUGUGGGGUGCUCGAGUGGCGAACGGGUGAGUAACACGUGAGUAACCUGCCCUUUACUUUGGGAUAACUCCAGGAAACUGGGGCUAAUACCGGAUAGGAGCUCCUGCUGCAUGGUGGGGGUUGGAAAGUUUCGGCGGUUGGGGAUGGACUCGCGGCUUAUCAGCUUGUUGGGGGGGUAGUGGCUUACCAAGGCUUUGACGGGUAGCCGGCCAGAGAGGGUGACCGGCCACAUUGGGACUGAGGUGCGGCCGAGGCUCCUACGGGAGGCAGAAGUGGGGAAUAUUGCACAAGGGGCGGAAGCCUGAUGCAGCAACGCCGCGUGCGGGAUAACGGCCUUCGGGUUGUAAACCGCUUUCGCCUGUGACGAAGCGUGAGUGACGGUAAUGGGUAGAGAAACACCGGCUAACUACGUG